UUUUAACGCUGAGGUGUGAUGACGAGGCACUACGGUGCUGAAGUAACAAAUGCCCUGCUUCCAGGAAAAGCCUCUAAGCAUCAGGUAACAUCAAAUCGUACCCCAAACCGACACAGGUGGUCAGGUAGAAAAUACCAAGGCGCUUGAGAGAACUCGGGUGAAGGAACUAGGCAAAAUGGUGCCGUAACUUCGGGAGAAGGCACGCUGAUAUGUAGGUGAAGCCCCUGCGGGUGGAGCUGAAAUCAGUCGAAGAUACCAGCUGGCUGCAACUGUUUAUUAAAAACACAGCACUGUGCAAACACGAAAGUGGACGUAUACGGUGUGACGCCUGCCCGGUGCCGGAAGGUUAAUUGAUGGGGUUAGCGGCAACGCGAAGCUCUUGAUCGAAGCCCCGGUAAACGGCGGCCGUAACUAUAACGGUCCUAAGGUAGCGAAAUUCCUUGUCGGGUAAGUUCCGACCUGCACGAAUGGCGUAAUGAUGGCCAGGCUGUCUCCACCCGAGACUCAGUGAAAUUGAACUCGCUGUGAAGAUGCAGUGUACCCGCGGCAAGACGGAAAGACCCCGUGAACCUUUACUAUAGCUUGACACUGAACACUGGUCCUUGAUGUGUAGGAUAGGUGGGAGGCUUUGAAGCGUGGACGCCAGUCUGCGUGGAGCCAUCCUUGAAAUACCACCCUUUAAUGGCUGGUGUUCUAACGUAGACCCGUAAUCCGGGUUGCGGACAGUGUCUGGUGGGUAGUUUGACUGGGGCGGUCUCCUCCCAAAGAGUAACGGAGGAGCACGAAGGUUAGCUAAUCCUGGUCGGACAUCAGGAGGUUAGUGCAAUGGCAUAAGCUAGCUUGACUGCGAGAGUGACGGCUCGAGCAGGUGCGAAAGCAGGUCAUAGUGAUCCGGUGGUUCUGAAUGGAAGGGCCAUCGCUCAACGGAUAAAAGGUACUCCGGGGAUAACAGGCUGAUACCGCCCAAGAGUUCAUAUCGACGGCGGUGUUUGGCACCUCGAUGUCGGCUCAUCACAUCCUGGGGCUGAAGUAGGUCCCAAGGGUAUGGCUGUUCGCCAUUUAAAGUGGUACGCGAGCUGGGUUUAGAACGUCGUGAGACAGUUCGGUCCCUAUCUGCCGUGGGCGCUGGAGAAUUGAGGGGGGCUGCUCCUAGUACGAGAGGACCGGAGUGGACGCAUCACUGGUGUUCGGGUUGUCAUGCCAAUGGCACUGCCCGGUAGCUAAAUGCGGAAAAGAUAAGUGCUGAAAGCAUCUAAGCACGAAACUUGCCCCAAGAUGAGUUCUCCCUGACCCUUUAAGGGUCCUGAAGGAACGUUGAAGACGACGACGUUGAUAGGUCGGGUGUGUAAGCGCAGCGAUGCGUUGAGCUAACCGAUACUAAUGAACCGUGAGGCUUAACCUU
rnacentral:rRNA from 1 species